rnacentral:rRNA from 1 species
UCCUGGCUUAGGAUGAACGCUAGCUACAGGCUUAACACAUGCAAGUCGAGGGGCAGCAUGAAACUUAGCUUGCUAAGUUCGAUGGCGACCGGCGCACGGGUGAGUAACACGUAUCCAACCUACCGUUUACUACGGGAUAGCCUUCUGAAAAGGAGAUUAAUACCGUAUGGCAUUCUAAAGUUUCAUGACAUUAGAAUUAAAGGUUUACCGGUAAUCGAUGGGGAUGCGUUCCAUUAGAUAGUAGGCGGGGUAACGGCCCACCUAGUCAGCGAUGGAUAGGGGUUCUGAGAGGAAGGUCCCCCACAUUGGAACUGAGACACGGUCCAAACUCCUACGGGAGGCAGCAGUGAGGAAUAUUGGUCAAUGGGCGAGAGCCUGAACCAGCCAAGCAGCGUGAAGGAUGACUGCCCUAUGGGUUGUAAACUUCUUUUAUAAAGGAAUAAAGUGGUCCACGUGUGGAUUUUUGUAUGUACUUUAUGAAUAAGGAUCGGCUAACUCCGUGCCAGCCGCCGC